rnacentral:Y_RNA from 1 species
GGCUGGUCCAAAGGUAGUGAGUUAGCUCAACUGAUUGUUCAUAGUCAGUUACAGAUCAAACUCCUUGUUCUGCUCUACCUUCUCAUUAUAGCACCAGACUAGUCUUAA